UCAAGUCACGAUGUUCGGAGUUUUGAUGUUGAACAACUUCACCCUGACCUCAACCCUAUAUGCCACCUUCAGGUUGAACUAGGCUACCAACUGCAAGGUCAGGCUGCAUGUUAAUGCUCUCAGGGAUGAAAUCUCAAUCUGAAUCCCUGCAGCAAACAAACAAACAAAAAAAAAGCGGUGAAAAGCGCUCAAAGAGGAGUGGAGGAUUUUAAAGGCUUGGAUUUCAACAGAUCUUUAGGAAUUAAAAUUUUAGUGUCAACCGAUGUUUGGCCUUGAAUUUGAUGAGUUGUUGUUGAAAGAUUGACUGUGCAGGUUUGCUUUACUUUACCAGGAUGAGGGGAUGUGCUCUCAACUAUUCUAACUAAUCCUGAAAUAGUGCAGCAUGGAGGAGGAAGCACUUAAUAAGUUGACUAAAACAGGGUCAAUUGUUAUGCUAAAUCUAUCAAAACAUUCCCCCAUUAGACGUUCGAGUCUCUAUUAGUUCCAGUCACUUAAUACCUGAGUAGCUCUAAAAGUUAUAAAUCUCCAUUUGGAUGAUCCAGACUAAGCUCUGCAUGAAUCCAAAUCUGAGCAACAGUAAUUUAGUCAAGGUUAUUAAUUUAGCCGAUUCUGAUGCAGCGGUUAAUUGGCAGUCUCUUUUGUUGCAUGCACAUUUUUCUACAUCACUCCUGCCAAGAAUCUCGGAAACAUGGCUCCACGUCACACCGUCAAUGAAUUUUCAUGCCGAGAUCCGCCAGAAAGAGCUCCUUUUUUUGUGCUCUCCGGUUCUACCUUAACUAUAGCUUUCAUUUCAUCCAAGUGAGAGCCGUAUGUAUUCACUGAACAUAAUGUUCUCAUUUUAAAUGGUAAUUUCAAUUAAAUAAACAAAUAUGAAAAUGAAAUGUUCUGUCUUCAGAUGUUAUAUAAACAUUUGAGCUUGUGAGAGUCUUCAGAGAGGUGAUUCUGUGCUAAGUGGAGCAUAAUUACUUCCAAUUUGCUGCUUACAGUUUUAUGAACUGAGCAUGAUUCAGAUGAGUGUGGAGCGAGCACUUUUCAUACCCUCGAAUUAAACAUUCCAGAGAGACAAAAGUGAUUUUUUUUUUUCUAAUCGAAACAUCACAGUCAUUGAGAAAUGAUAGUUAAUCCAAUUUAUUCAUGAUCAUUUUCACCUCUUUGGCUUUUGGCCCAUGUAAUGGAAUCUCUUUCAUGAAAAGAGAUCUAAUAAAUGCAUCAUUAAUAUUAACUUGAAAUAACUGUAGGCAAAGCGAUGCAAAGUGUUUCAUUUAUUUUCCACUUUUUGGAGCCCAUUCUGGGAGUCAUAUUUUAUCUUUUGAUCCUACAUUUUUGAAGUUCUGAAGCUUGUUACCUGAAUAAAAGUUUUGCUGGAAUAAAAAAAGACAAAACUUUUAAUUUAGAUGCGACUGUCAAAGCUCAAAGAAGUCCGCUAAAUAAAGUCAAACAGUUUCGAUUCCAGGAGCUGUGUAAAAAAUAUAUACAGAGAGAUCUGAAAUCAAUCCGACUCUAAAGCAGCAAGAGAAUUAUUCAUGUGUUACUGAGACUGUUGCAAGUCUAUACAGGAGAGAGUGUGUACAUAAAUUUAACUUGACAUUACAGCCAACAAAUGCUUGGGUAUGACCUUUAUGUCUUUAAUGCCAGAGCAAUGCCAAAUGUGUGACUUUAUACAGUUUCCCAUGACCUUUAAGUGGACAUUUGCUGCCAUGAAAACAGUGAGGUGCAAGAUGCAGAAAACUCAUCAAGUAGGUUCAUUAUUUAACGUGGCUGUGAGCAGACAAAGACUGAAUUUUACAUGCUCGUUAUUCCUCUGUAUAUGACAGGAAUCUAUACGUCUAUAAUAGGUGUAAUACCAUUUAUUUUUCUCUGCAUCUUAGUUGUCAAACGGGGCACAAUAAUUGAGAAAUGCAUGUAGAAGUGCAGGGCUUGAAGCAGAAAAAAAUCCUUUACCUGUAGAGGGGGCGGGCACCACAUGACAGUGGAGCUAUUGAUUAAUAUUGGAAGAUAUUAAUGAUUCAUAACAAUAAAAAUUCACCAAAAUUAUGGCACAUUUUCCUAAAAUUGCUGUUAUAGUAUGUAGAGUUCCCUCGGUUUGUUCGGUGAUUUCGGGGUCUCUACUGUAUAACAGUGGAGCUAUUGAUUUUUGUUUGCAGCGUCUUGCUCUGGUAUCGUAAUUUGCAGACGAUCCCUGAAUCAGUAAGAUUCAUCCAGCUCGAGGAACGGCUUGUUUUUUUGUAAAACAAAUCGGUUUUUGAUUCUUGUAGCUAGUAGCCUGUGCCAUUACGACAUGAAAGAGGUAUGAUUUGUGUUUAGACAACGUUUCGUCUCAGAGUUAUUGAUCCCGGAAGUCCGAAUCUGUGAAUAUCUUCACAACUUUACCGAACUUUUUCCCACUGCUGCCAGUUAUAAGCUUUUUGGCACACGACACACACAAAAAAGCACCUGGCACUUUCAGAUUUCGGCACCAACUACUGUGAGGCUUUCCAUCUUUUCCAGCCUCUUCCGCCCAAGCCCAGCUUCCAAUAUGGCCGUUUCUUCUCCUGGAUGGAUGUACCUGGCAUCCAUCGUUUGAAAUUUGCCGUGCGGUGAUGCAUCUUUUUCUUCUUCCGCUUCCACUUCUUCUUCUUCUCUGGCAGGAUGUACGCUAUCCAGCGUAAUGCUGUCCUCUACCGGUCAAAUUCAGACCUAACUAACGAGAAGAUUUUUUGUUGUUGUUGUUGACAUGAUUUAGAAAAAAUGAAAAUCCCGAGCUGGAUUUCCGGCACUGUGCUGGAGGUCUUCAAGCCCUGGAAGUGACCCUGGUGAUAUGUCUGCAAGUUGAGCAUUUUUCUGCCCCAUGUCUUUGUCAUGAUAUCUCGAAAACAGUGUCAACACAAGCAGUUAAAUACCAGUCCAACAUCAACAGUGAAAUCCCAAUUAAUAUUCAAAAUCAGAAAGAUAAUCAAUGACUAAUUUCUAAAGCUGUCAUCCAAACAGGCCUCACUGAGUGUUUCAUAACUGACUGCAUAUAAUUAAAAAAUAAAUCCAUACUAAUUCAGAAUAUGAUUUAUGAAUAUCUGUGACUUUAUUCAAUUAUAAAGCACUUUUCAAAAGUGGGAUCCAAUACGUCAUUAUUACCUGGUUAAAACAGUCAACAGUCAAAGGAAAGCCAGAUCACAGAAAUGAGUUUGAAGAGGAUGCCGAGUUCGCCCGUCUGACAUCCUCAGACAUGCAGGAAACUCCACAGCUGUGGAGCUCAAACUGCAAAUACUCGAUCACAUCUCAUGAUCAGCUGAGACUUAGAAACCACGAGUAUGGCCCCGCUCAAAGACCUCAGACAGAGAUCAGGCUCAGAGGGAGUUAGUCUGGCACAAGCGUAGGCCAGAGCCUGAGUAUUUAAAACAAGUGGUAAAAUCUCAAAUCCAUUCUGGCGGGUAGAAGGGCAGCAAGGCCUUAAAUCUUUGGGAGUUGCAGAGGGCUAGUGUUACGCUGGAAUAAAGAGCUUUUCAAUUGUAAACUUGGGAGGAAAUAAAACUUUUCUCACAAGAGAAGAAGAAUGACCUAAAUUUAGUUAACGGUCUGUACUGAGCAUAAUAGGACUGCAUAAUUGUGGUCCCCUGGGUGUGAAAGGAAAGGCUGGAGUCAAAAACUCCUCAGAUAGA
rnacentral:lncRNA from 1 species